rnacentral:rRNA from 1 species
GACGAACGCUGGCGGCGUGCUUAACACAUGCAAGUCGAACGGAAAGGCCCUGCCUUUGUGGGGUGCUCGAGUGGCGAACGGGUGAGUAACACGUGAGUAACCUGCCCUUGACUUUGGGAUAACUUCAGGAAACUGGGGCUAAUACCGGAUAGGAGCUCCUGCUGCAUGGUGGGGGUUGGAAAGUUUCGGCGGUUGGGGAUGGACUCGCGGCUUAUCAGCUUGUUGGUGGGGUAGUGGCUUACCAAGGCUUUGACGGGUAGCCGGCCUGAGAGGGUGACCGGCCACAUUGGGACUGAGAUACGGCCCAGACUCCUACGGGGGGCAGCAGUGGGGAAUAUUGCACAAUGGGCGGAAGCCUGAUGCAGCAACGCCGCGUGCGGGAUGACGGCCUUCGGGUUGUAAACCGCUUUCGCCUGUGACGAAGCGUGAGUGACGGUAAUGGGUAAAGAAGCACCGGCUAGCUACGUG